AUGAUGUCACGGUGACAAUGGUAGUUGGAAGAUAGAUUGAUUUGUUACUUUCCCUUCCAUUGUUUUCAUAUUACACCAUUCAAAAUUUUCCUGAACCUCGUGUUUUCUGCUUCUCUUGCUUGAAGUAAUAGAGUUGUUCCAUUAAAGCCCGCUCAGCUACAGGGGUAGGCCGGUAGCAUGGAUGAGUGCAGGAAGCACGGGACCUACCUAAUUAUCAAGGAAUUGUACAUGCAGUCAAACUUCAAUGGGAUAUAUUUGUAAUUAUAUAAGGUUUUUUUUUGGGGGGUUCAUUGUAACUGAGAUUUUUCACUUAUUAAUGUGCGAUUGAUUACUCAUAAACUUUCCCCUGUUUCCAACAAUGAGUACUCAUAAAGCAGAAGAAGCCAUUGACUUGGCCCAUGCCCACCUUCCCAGAAUACAAACGAGAGAACCCUUGCUUACAGCCUUUGGGCCAUUUGUUUUCUUCUCUGGAAGGAAGGCCCUUUUUAGCCCAUCUUGUUCUAUUGCUUAAUUAAUUGCAAAUAUCUCCCAAUCUUAUUCUUUCAUAUCACACCAAGCCCCUAAGUUUAAUUAAAUAAUCACAGGUUUUCUUUCACGCUUCAAAAAGCAUAAUUAAUCAUCCGGAAUUUUAAAGAAAAAAAAUCAUAUAAAGUGUUUGAAAACACUGCGGCAAAGAAGAACAUCCAAUUAAAAAUAAGAAAAACAAAACAGAUGUAUAUGACUAAUAUAUUAAUCUUUUUAAAUAAUCAUAUAAUUAUCUAAUUAUUACAAAAAAGUACGUACGAAAUUAUCAUUUAUAAUUAUAAUUUUCAUAUAAUAUUUUGGUAGACAUUUUACAAUUCAGAAUUGUAAUGUAGUUAUUGUAGAAGAUAUGUUUUUUAAUUUGAUAUUUUAAUGAAAACCUGCUAAUAAGAAAGAAUUAAGAUCUCUAUAGUCAACCAUCCUAAUUACCAAUUCAGCCGUUUUCUUUAUCACACACUUCAAAUCAGACUUUACUAAGCCCAACAAGUCGGACAGACAAUGGAGAAACCGCAAGCUCAGGUUUCUUAAUGUGUUAUUUCGGGUAUCUGCACCAUUGGUGGAAAAACUGCAAGUCAUCUGGGACCAAUUAAGGAGAUGAAUUUGUGGACACGUUUGUUUACUUUUGUUGGUUUUGAGAGGGAGGGCGAUGAAGAAUCGAGAACUUGCAUUUAAGAAACUAAUCAAAGCUUAUAGUUUAGGAAUAGAACUCUCAGGCACAUUAGCUUGAUAGAUUCAAAUGCUGUUAUGUACUUUCACCUUGUAGAGAUUUUUGUUAUGUGAUCGACAUGCUUGAAGACAGAUGAGCAGUUUCUAUGUCUGUGUUUUUUCCUUUUCUCUUUUACUCAAAUUGCUUUUCGUCAAGUUUUGCACCGCCAUAGAUGUGUUAACCCCAUCUCAAGCACUCUUACAGGGACAAACUCUAACCUCCCCUGGCAACGUCUUUGAGCUCGGCUUUGUGAGUUUUAAUAACUCUAGCCUUUAUUACGUAGGAAUUUGGCACAAGAAUAUUGUCCCUCGCAGAGUUUUAUGGGUGGCCAACAGAGAGAAGCCCCUCACUGACUCAUUGUCCUCAAGUCUAAUGAUAGCAGGUGAUGGAAAUCUGAAGCUCAUGAAUGGCAUGCAAGACAUUGUCUGGUCAACCAAGGUUCCUAUCCAAUCAAAUAAUUCGGUUGCGGUGCUUUUGGAUAGUGGGAAUUUUGUUCUGAAGGAUAACUCAUCGGGACAGAUCUUAUGGGAGAGCUUUAGCCAUCCUGGUGAUACUAUUUGGACCGGUAUGAUGAUAGGGAUGAAUGUUAAAACCGGUGAGAAACGAUUCCUGAUUUCCUCGAAAAGUAAGGACGACCCAUCGCCUGGUAGUUUUGUUGGUGGAACUGGAGCACAGAGUAGUCCGAUAAUAGAAGCUUUUAUUUGGAGUGGAACCCGACCGUAUUUGAGAAGUGGGCAAUGGAAUGGGAUAAAGUUCCUAGGGAUGCCACAUAUGUCUGCAGUAUAUACUAAUGGAAUUAGCAUUGUAUCGGAUAGUCAAGAGGGUAGUCAGUAUGUUGCUCUCAAUUUUUUCAACACCUCUCUCAUUAAAGUCGUGUUCCUUUCACCAGAAGGAUAUCUGCAGCUAAUUAUUUGGGAUGAAGGAGAGAAAGAAUGGAGAGUUCAAUUACAGGAACCGGAGAGCCAAUGUGACAUUUACGGAGCUUGCGGUCCUAAUGGAAUUUGUAAUAAAGAUAAGUCUCCAAUUUGUAGGUGUUUGGAAGGGUUUGAACCAAGCUCAAGUGAAGAGUGGAGCAGAGGGAACUGGACGAAUGGAUGUGUAAGACGAGUUGAACUUAAUUGUGACAAGAACAUAAGCUUAUUAGCCUCAAGCCGGAAUAAAACUGAUGGAUUUUUGAAAUUGAGUGGGCUGAAACUGCCAGCUCAUUCCCAGUAUCUGAAAUUUGAAGUGGAUACAGAAGCUUGCAAAUUCUCGUGCUCGAACAACUGCUCUUGCGUGGCAUUUGCGUCUGUGACAGGAAUCGGGUGUAUGCUUUGGACUGAAGAUCUUAUGGAUGUUCAGGCCUUCUCAUCUACAGGAGAGGAUCUCUUCGUUCGUGUUGCACAUGCAGAACUAGGUACUUUACACAUACAAUUCUUCACCUGAACUCAGAUUAUGAGGUUUGCAUACAUCUGUCUCCCCGUUGGUUUGUUUACCUUCAAAUUUUAAAAUUUUCUCUAGGUAAGGAGAAGCACAAAUCGAAGGUAAUCUUCCCUGUUGCAGCUAGUUGUACUUUGAUCGUCUUGAGUACAUUAUUAGUGUAUGGUUUCUUCAGGUAUAGAGCUAACCACAAAGGUAAGAGCACUGAUGUAUUUUUCACAGCUACUUAAAUUUAUUCAAGCGUUUUGAGCAUAUUAAUCUCUUGUGUUUUGAAAGUUGUUCAAAUAAAGCAUUGCAGAUCAUGCGGUUUAUGUAUAAAGCUUAAUCAUGAUUAUUCAUAGCUAACUUGAGAAAAACUGCAGUAGAAAUUUUAGGUCCAAAAUUCAAAGUAUACUGAUGGACCUUCCAAUAAUUAAGCCGUGUAAGCCACCUGUCCACCUUGAUUUGUGGUAAUGGAUUAUUGCCAGUCAAGAGGGAAAGGUUGAGCUGUCAGGUAUAGAAAAUUUGGCUCGUUCAACAGAAAUCUCUAAGCCAUGCAGCUCCAAGAAACUUGUUUCCUGUACUACCCUUGACGAUUGACAUUUGGGGGCUUAAUUACUUUGACUUCUCUUUAGCAUUUUUCUCCAAUAAACUGACUGAAAAGUUCCUUGUUAUUGAGUAGUUAAUUAGAUUAAUUAUAUGCAAUUUGAGUAUAAUUUAGUAUAUAAUAUUUUAAUAACGUUAGGUUGCUGAAUUAUACAUAGAGCCUGGCUGUCUCAUAAGAAUUAUAUCCUUUAAGACCAGUAUGUCAAUAAAUCCUGCCAAAUCAAGAUAUGUCACAGUGUUAGGCUCCAUAUCGGAUUCUAGUUGGUCUAGGCCAAAUUACUCAGUUUCGCGCCUAUUUAAGAAAAAGAUCUGCUAACUUUAAAGGUAUGAUGGCUCAAUGUCUAUACUUAGGGGAAAGCAGAGAAGCUUUGCAUGAAUCUGAUUCUGCUGAUGCAACUAACCCUUUGAGAGACACUCGAAAAGGAAUAGCAGGGAGCAACAUCAUAAAACAAAAAGAUUCGUUGAUAUUUGAUUUCAACCACGUAGUUGUUGCUACCGACAACUUUAGCCUAACGAACAAGCUUGGCGAAGGGGGAUUUGGACCUGUUUAUAAGGUAUCACUCCUUUUUACUAUUUCUUUUUGCUUGUAGAUGUACAAGGACACCAUAGACUGAUAUAUGUCACACAAGAGCAGGGAAAGCUGCAGAAUGGAAAGGAAAUAGCCGUGAAGAGACUUUCUAGUCACUCAGGACAGGGCAUGGAGGAAUUCAAGAACGAGAUUGUGUUUAUUUCCAAACUCCAACAUAGGAAUCUUGUUAAGCUUUUGGGUUGCUGUGUUGAAGGGGAGGAAAAACUGUUGAUCUAUGAGUACAUGCCGAACAAGAGCCUGGACACAUUUCUCUUUGGUUAACUCCCUUUUUCACUUAUUCAUCCCUAUUAUUUUAUAACACAACUUAUAACUGACUUUGUCAAAAAUUUCCAUGAUCUGAUUAGAUCCAACAAGAAAAACACAGCUAGUUUGGGCUAAGCGCUUCAGCAUUAUUCAGGGUAUUGCCAGAGGGCUUGUUUAUCUCCAUCGUGAUUCCUUUCUAAGGGUCAUUCACCGUGAUCUGAAGGCUAGCAAUGUUCUUUUGGAUGAAGACAUGAACCCAAAAAUUUCAGACUUCGGAUUGGCUAGAACUUUCCAAAAGACUCAAGAGCUAGCAAAUACUCGCAGAGUAGUGGGAACAUUGUAAGCAUUACUUGUUUGUUUUAUUAGCAGAUUCAAUGAACAUUCAUCUUGAUAAUCCACUCCCAUAAGGAGUAGUAAUGCAUUAAAUUGUUGUCUAGUGUAACAUGAAACUUGCAACCUAAUUUGUAAAUAGGUUCAUGUACAUAUAAUCACUUAACUAGGUAUUGGCUUGUUCAAAUGUACCUCAAAAUCCAGAUAACUUUUAACGACUUUGGCAUUGAAGUAAACAAGCAUUAAAUAUUCCAAUCAAUGCAGGGGCUAUAUGUCUCCUGAGUACGUCAUAGGAGGGAGGUUUUCAGAGAAAUCUGACGUCUUCAGCUUCGGGGUCUUGCUACUCGAGAUUGUCAGCGGCGAGAAAAAUUCAGGCUUCCAGAAUGAUGAACACCAAAACCUUCUUGGUUAUGUAUGCUUCAAAGUUAAAACACUUUCAUCUUUGCAUAUUCCUUCUGGGAUUCUUUUAGUAAGUGAAAUCUACAUUGUUUCAGGCUUGGCGGUUGUGGUGUGAAGGUAGAGUGCUUAACUUGGUUGAUCAAGCCUUAGGGGACUCAUUCUGCAAUGUAGAAGUAAUGCGAUGCAUACACGUUGGGCUUCUCUGCGUCCAGGAAAAUCCUGCAGACAGGCCUAGCACGCCAGCCGUGAUUCUCCAGCUUACCAGUGGAACGAGCCUUCCACAACCAAAGCAACCUGCAUUUGCUUUUGACAAUUCACGGUACUCCUCUCAUAGAUCAAAUUCUAAUAGCUAUAUAGGCUCCGUGAACGAGGUCACAUUGUCAGCGACUGAAGGUCGAUAAUUGAUGAUGAACGGAUUGUUUCUAUUUUUCUUUUUAUUUACAGAAUUAGCAACUCCUAUUUUAAAAUUUUUCUUACAUUUCUUAUGAUCAUUAUUUUCAUCUUCCCACUCUUUCGAUAAAGAACAAAUUUUACUUAAUUGGAUGGAUAUUUUCAACAAUAAUAAGCUUGAGAUAUAAUUUUCAUUUAAACAAAUAAAGAAAAAAAGUUUUUGAAAUAAGAGAAGUUUAGGUCUUUAAUAGUAUAACUAAAAUGGGUUAAAGAGCAAAUAGGGACUCUUAUAAUUUAAUAAGAAGAUAAAAAAACGAUUUUAACAAUAUUUCAUUCUUUUCUCUAUAUUCUCCACAUCUUUUUAUACUAUUUUAUUACAAAAAAACUUUAUAAAAAUUUAAUAAUUUUACCAUACACUAGUGACUCUUCAAUGUAUUGAUUUUGUUAGCUCAAAAAUAAUUAAUUAUCAAGUUUCAUUGUAUUCUCGAGAUUUUAUCAUCUAUAAUCUUAUUCGCGAGGUGAAUAAAGCAAUGGAUCUCGUUGACACCUUGAUUCCGGAUCCAUGCUCUCCAACUGCAGUGUUGAAAUGCAUACACAUAGGCAUAAUGUGUGUGCAGGAUAAUGCAAUGCACACACUAACAAUGGCAGCCAUGGUGCUAAUGCUUGAGAGUGAAACUCCAACGCUUCCAAUGCCUAGACAACCCACAUACACUUCCAUGAGGAGUUCUCUAGGUGCAGAAUUCACCAUGGAUGGUCAAGAAAUUGUAUCUUCAAAUGACGUCACGGUGACAAUGGUAGUUGGAAGAUAGAUUGAUUUGUUACUUACCCUUCCAUUGUUUUCAUAUUACACCAUUCAAAAUUUUCCUGAACCUGGUGUUUUCUGCUUCUCUUGUUUGAAGUUGUAGAGUUGUUCCAUUAAAGCCCGCUCAGCUACAAGGGGUAGGCCGGUUGAAUGGAUUAGUGCAGGAAGCAGGGGAAACACUUAAUUAUCAAAGAAUUGUACAUGCAGUCAAACUUUAAUGGGAUAGAAUUGUAAUUAUAUAAGGUUUUUUUUUUUCUUGGGUUCAUUGUAACUGAGAUUUUUC
rnacentral:lncRNA from 1 species